GACUCGGUAGCAGAUGGUCCGCAUCUGCACUUGCUAGCCAGCAUAUUUCACUGUAAAGCAGAAGGUGCCUGUUCGAAUCAGGCUCGAGUCA